rnacentral:rRNA from 1 species
CCUACGGGGGGCAGCAGUGAGGAAUAUUGGUCAAUGGACGAGAGUCUGAACCAGCCAAGUAGCGUGAAGGAUGACUGCCCUCUGGGUUGUAAACUUCUUUUAUAUGGGAAUAAAAUGUUCCACGUGUGGGAUUUUGUAUGUACCAUAUGAAUAAGGAUCGGCUAACUCCGUGCCAGCAGCCGCGGUAAUACGGAGGAUCCGAGCGUUAUCCGGAUUUAUUGGGUUUAAAGGGAGCGUAGGUGGAUUGUUAAGUCAGUUGUGAAAGUUUGCGGCUCAACCGUAAAAUUGCAGUUGAAACUGGCAGUCUUGAGUACAGUAGAGGUGGGCGGAAUUCGUGGUGUAGCGGUGAAAUGCUUAGAUAUCACGAAGAACUCCGAUUGCGAAGGCAGUUCACUGGACUGCAACUGACACUGAGGCUCGAAAGUGUGGGUAUCAAACAGGAUUAGAUACCCUUGUAGUC